rnacentral:rRNA from 1 species
UGCACAAGGGGGUGGAGCAUGUGGUUUAAUUCGAUGCAACGCGAAGAACCUUCCUACGUCUUGACAUCCACAGAACUUUCCAGAGAUGGAUAAGGUGCCUUCGGGAACCGUGAGACAGGUGCUGCAUGGCUGUCGUCAGCUCGUGUUGUGAAAUGUUGGGUUAAGUCCCGCAACGAGCGCAACCCUUAUCCUUUGUUGCCAGCGGUCCGGCCGGGAACUCAAAGGAGACUGCCAGUGAUAAACUGGAGGAAGGUGGGGAUGACGUCAAGUCAUCAUGGCCCUUACGACCAGGGCUACACACGUGCUACAAUGGCGCAUACAAAGAGAAGCGACCUCGCGAGAGCAAGCGGACCUCAUAAAGUGCGUCGUAGUCCGGAUUGGAGUCUGCAACUCGACUCCAUGAAGUCGGAAUCGCUAGUAAUCGUGGAUCAGAAUGCCACGGUGAAUACAUUUCCCGGGCA